rnacentral:snRNA from 1 species
UUAACCGUGCUUGGGCGAG